rnacentral:rRNA from 1 species
AUGGCGGCACCGGCGCCGAGGAGCGUGGGCGUGGCGGAGCGGGCGCUGCGCGGGGUGGCGGACCUGAUCAAGCUACUGCCGAGCGGCACGGUCUUCAUGUUCCAGUUCCUCAGCCCGCUCGUCACCAACAACGGCCACUGCGCCGCCUACAACAAGGUGCUCUCCGGGGCGCUCCUCGCGCUCUGCGGCGCCUUCUGCGCCUUCUCCUCCUUCACCGACAGCUACGUCGGCUCCGACGGCAGGGUCUACUACGGCGUCGUCACGCGCCGCGGGAUGCGCACCUUCUCCGCCGACCCGGACGCCGGCGCCACCAGGGACCUGUCCGGGUACCGCCUCCGCGCCGGCGACUUCGUGCACGCCGCGCUCUCGCUCAUCGUGUUCGCCACCCUCGCGCUGCUGGACAGGGACACCGUGUCCUGCCUCUACCCGGAGUUGGAGGCCGGCGAGAGGACCAUGAUGGCCGUGCUGCCGCCGGUCGUCGGCGGCGUCGCCAGCUACGCCUUCAUGAUGUUCCCCAACAACCGCCACGGCAUCGGCUACCAGCCCACGCGCGCGACCGAGGACUUCGAGCACAAGCACUAG